AAAAGAAUAAGGAAAUGUUUUCUAUAACUUUCAGAACAUAAUUUUUUAAACGAGAAAAUUAUGUAUCUCUAUCCAAGAAUCUAUAAACUAUUUUUUUCAUUUAGCAAAUAUUCAUUCAAGCAAAUGCUAUAGGCAAGACAUUACUUUAGUCCUUAGUAAAAGAUGCAGAGAUAAACAAGAGCUUUAGGGAGUUCAUAAUCCAGUAGGAGAAAUAGACAUGUAAACUAACAAAAAUGUAGAGUGGGUAGUACAGUUAAAAAGAAAUACAGGAUACAGUGCACACUCUGGUAAAAAUCUGCCCUGGGGAUAUCAGGGAGGAAGGACUUGAUCGGAAAAACUGCUUAACUCAGUUUGGUGAAUAUGGGCGAAUGAGGUAUUCAGGCAGAGGAAGAGUGCCCAGUGCAGAGAGACCAUUUGUAACGGCAGAGGCAUUAAGGAGCAGACCCAGUUGGGGAUCUGCAAGUAGUUUGAUAUGGCUAGAUUUUAUGUUACCAGAGGUGGUAUCACAGGAUUACAUUUUUGAGGCAGAUAUGAGCCCAUUUUAUGUAUUUACUACUGUUUCAGAUGCCAAGAAUACUCUAUCCUUUUUCUGUGAGUCUCAGAUCCUAGGUGACUGUGUCACUUGAAACCAAGAGAAUGGUCUUCAAGACUAAUGAGGAGAUUGCUGGGGGGCCCUGGAAGUCCAUCUUGGAUAAAAAGUUUGUAAGAUGAGGCCUAGAAACUCUGAAUAAGGUCAGAUAUCCUGGCUUCAAAGACUAUGUGCACAAACUUGUAAAGGAGACUUUGCUACUCUGGGGGAAGAUAUAUGAGACAGGCAAGUGGAGGAAGGAGGGAGAAAGAGGACUGCUGGUUAAUCUAUGCCAUGAUCCAGAAAAAAACAUGUCAAAUAAUUAAAGGGAGACUAAUUUGUAAGCACAUAAUAGAAAUGGUGUAUGAUUCCUAGGGACUUAACAUGGGCUUACAAAUAACAAAUCAUGACCCCUAAUGAU